UUGUAACUUAUUUUUUUUUUAAAUGCUUAACCUAAAAAAUUAAUAAUUCAUCACAUAGGUACUCAAAUUAAUAAUUCUAAUUAAGAUGGGUAUGUUACAUUGUAGCUAAUUUACCCUCAUAUGAACAUGUUGAGUUUCAUUAAAUUAAGUAUAACUUGGAUUAGUUUGAUUUUAUUAAAUAUGUAAGACAAAUUAGUGGAUAAGAAAAUAUGAUUACCACAUGUAGCACAACUACAAUAUAAUAAAAUCAACCAUAGGACACAACACGACUUUGAUACAAUAUAUAAAUUUUAUUUAACAUUGACACAAAAUUAAAAAAAUUAAAAUAGUAAAAUAUAUAAGAGAAUUAAUGUUUUAAAAAUGAGUUCUUAUAAAUAUAAUAUACUCUAUAGACUUACCGACUCUAACAAGAAAAAAUAAAUUUCAUAACAGAAUUUCUAACUCUACCAAGAAAACCAAAGAACGCACACACUAAAUAAAAAUUGAAAAAAGAAAAAUGCCUAAAUUAUACCUAAUUAUGAAAAUUGUCAUUGACAUUAAUAAAAUUUUCUCUGAUUUUUUAUUAUUAUUUAACAAUAAUAUUGAGAGAAACUAAUUUAAAAAAUAAUAUGAAUUUGAAUCAAACAUGUUAUGGCCAAGUUUGGAAGGUAACAAGGCAUUACCAAAAGAAUCACUGACUCACUCUCUCAUUUAUUUUUCACUGUACAAGCACGAGUCCACUACCAUACCUCUAUCACCAUCACUAUCCUCUUCCUCGUGCUCCUUAGGCACCGUGACAAUAAGCUCGCCAUUGACAACCACCGUGCUCGCGAGCUCCGGCCGCCUGGAUCUCGGCAACCGGAACCUUCACAUGUAGAGUUCGAACUGAUCCAGUGAGACCUCCAUCGAGCCGCCGUCCCUCACCACGAUCUUGAUCGCCGAUUCUAUCGAUCUCUGCCACGAAGUGGAAGCAGUCGAGGGCCUCCUCCACCGCCACGUCGGCAUCGUAGCGGAAGGGAGCUCCGAGACGCGACUGAGUAGUGGACCUUCAUGCUGUUGUCGUGGACCGACGCUGCAGGGGAUUGCAUCAUAAAGAACGGUUCUUCUUCUUACUUUUUCUUUUCCUUUCUUUUUUGAGUGAAGAUAAUACAAACCGUAACCCUAAUUUUCUUUCAAUUUAUAUUCGUCACGACGAUCGAUUGUUUCGAAUGGGAAAGGUUAGAUUCUUUUUCUUUCUUUCUUUCUUUAUUCGAAUUUAAGAUGUGGCAAUUGUGUAAACCGAAGAGAAGAAGUUAAACAGAUAAAGAAAGAAAAGGACGAUUUGGAUUUGAUGUUAUUGUGUUGCCCUUCUGCUUCUUUUGGUUUACUAAUUUUGUCCCCUCAGUUAUUAACAAUUAUUAAUACAAAAAGGAAACUAUCGAACAAAACUGAAACUUCUGGCUCAAUUAGUUGACACCCUCUCCAUUUUUUUUAUUACUACAGUUUUAAUGUAUAAAAUAUAUUAAUAUAUAAUUUAGGUUUAAUAUAUAUGUUGAUAUGAAAUGUUGUUAAAAUGGGCUCUUAAAUUUUUUUUUUUUUUGUUAUUAACAUCUUAAUUUUUCUAAAAUUAAUGAUCAAAUUGCUAUUAACAUCUCAUAUUCACUAAAAUUGAAAGAAAAAAAAUUAGGACAUAAUCAAAUGAUUUAUAUAUUACUUAAUGUAUCAUUUAGUUCAAUCAAUUUAAGUUGCUUUUUUUUUAUCAGUUUAGAUGAAUCAAAUUCAGAACAAGUUUGUCUAUACUAGGCUUUUAAUUAGUCCAUCAAUGUCACAAUAAGCGGUUCAUUCACAAUAGCUAUGAGAGUACUUUGCUUCACAUAUUUUUCAGAAUCCAGGAUCACGUUAUCAAGAAUAAUCUCACCACACAAUCAUUGGAAUAUAUAUCUUUAAGAUAUAUAUACAACAUUAUAUUUAAAUUUAUAGAUAAGAUUAAUUACUUAUAAAUGAGACAACAAAUAUCAUUUUAACUUAAUUUUUACACUUAUCCUAAAGUCUCUUCUAACUUGAACGUCGAAGUAUUUUUGCAGGGAUAUUCACUAUCAUGAACAUUGGAAUACAAAGACCUCAUCACACACCUAUUAAAUUUGUUGUUGUUCAAACUCUAGGGUUGGAAGACCCUGAGGGCACAUUGAUCUCUGGAAGGUUAGACCAGAGAUAAGUGGAACCGAUUCAUGAAAGAUAUAGAAGGAAAAUAUUUUAAAGGAAGCUCAUAACUCAAUCUUAAGAACUCUAUAGAGAAACUAGAGACAGGAUUACUUAUUUCUUUCUUUAUUUCUUUCUCCCUUUCUUCAUUUUUUUUCACUUGAACCCUUCCUUCUCUGCCAUUGCUCAGUUGAUCAUAAAAGGUGAAGCAGUUCGAGCUCUAGGAUUGGAAACUUUAAGCAAGUGGUGUGCAAAGUCGCUUCUCUUCUUCUCUUCCUUGCAUAUUUUCUCCAAGAGGGCAGGAUUAGCAGGAUGAUUGCAUAAUUGGAGGAGAAUCACAUUGGAGAUGGCUACUUUUUGGUUGUAAACUACUCUUAUGUAGUGAAUUUUUCUAUAGAUAUUGAUCGACAUUUAUGUUUAUUUUGCAAUUGAUACAAUAUUUUGUAUAUAUUAUGUAUAUAUUGAUAUCAUUUAUUAGUUGUA